CAAGUCGAGUGCGCGGUUGUAGCAAUACAACUGGCGCACGGCGCACGGGUGCGUAACACGUGGGUAACCCGCCCUUUGGUGGGGAAUAACUCCGCGAAAGCGGAGCUAAUUCCGCAUAAGAUCCGCAAGGAUGAAAGCCGCAAGGCGCCGAAGGAGGGGCCCGCGCCCGAUUAGCUAGUUGGUAGGGUAACGGCCUACCAAGGCUUUGAUCGGUAGCUGGUCUGAGAGGAUGAUCAGCCACACUGGAACUGAGACACGGUCCAGAUUCCUACGGGAGGCAGCAGUGGGGAAUCUUGCACAAUGGGCGAAAGCCUGAUGCAGCGACGCCGCGUGGGGGAUGAAGCAUUUCGGUGUGUAAACCCCUUUCGAUCCGGACGAAACCCCGCAAGGGAUUGACGGUACGGAUAUAAGAAGCCCCGGCUAACUACGUGCCAGCAGCCGCGGUAAGACGUAGGGGGCCAGCGUUGUUCGGAAUUACUGGGUGUAAAGGGUUCGUAGGCGGUGCGGCAAGUUGGGAGUGAAAUCUCUGGGCUUAACCCAGAGGCUGCUUCCAAAACUGCUGUGCUUGAGUGUGGGAGAGGCGCGUGGAAUUGCAGGUGUAGCGGUGAAAUGCGUAGAUAUCUGCAGGAACACCCGUGGCGAAAGCGGCGCGCUGGACCACUACUGACGCUGAGGAACGAAAGCUAGGGGAGCAAACAGGAUUAGAUACCCUGGUAGUCCUAGCCCUAAACGAUCAGGACUUGGGGUGCCACCCGUUCGGGUGUCGUCCCGGAGCUAACGCGUUAAGUCCUGCACCUGGGGAGUACGGUCGCAAGACUGAAACUCAAAG
rnacentral:rRNA from 1 species